CAUCAAAGACGCUGCCCUGCACAGAAAUCUGAAAUAAAAAAUGAAUUAAUUAAAGCAAAUACAAAAACAAAUGUCAACAAAUACAUAUUCUCACCUCCAGGCGGCCGGACCAGCAGCCGCUUGAUUCGUGGUCUGAUGUUUGACACGGGGGGCUCCCAAAAUGCCACGCCCUCAGCAAUUUCCACGCCUUCAUCCACUCCAAACCCAGUCGCUUCCUCCUGGUCCAAGGAAAGCCCGCUGGAUGCGAGUAUAGGCGGCCAUUUCUCCAGCUGAGAAACCUGAAAUAAAAAGAAAAAUCAAUUAAAUACAACAAAUAUAUAAAUAAAACAACAAAAACACAGACUCACCAACCAGCAGCAGCAGCAGCAGAAACAGCACUCAAAUCAACAUCGAAGACGCUGCCCUGCACAGAAAUCUGAAAUAAAAAAUGAAUUAAUUAAAGCAAAUACAAAAACAAAUGUCAACAAAUACAUAUUCUCACCUCCAGGCGGCCGGACCAGCAGCCGCUUGAUUCGUGGUCUGAUGUUUUGACACGGGGGCGCCCAAAAAUGCCACGCCCUCAGCACUUUCCACGCCUUCAUCCACUCCAAGCCCAGUCGCUUCCUCCUGGUCCAAGGAAAGCCCGCUGGAUGCGAGUAUAGGCGGCCAUUUCUCCAGCUGAGAAACCUGAAAUAAAAAGAAAAGUCAAUUAAUUACCAAAAAAUACAGAAAUAAAACAACAAAAACACAUACUUACCAACCAGCAGCAGCAGCAGCAGAAACAGCACUCAAAUCAACAUCGAAGACGCUGCCCUGCACAGAAAUCUGAAAUAAAAAAUGAAUAAAUAAAAGCAAAUACAAAAACAAAUGUCAACAAAUACAUAUUCUCACCUCCAGGCGGCCGGACCAGCAGCCGCUUGACCGUGGUCUGAUGUUUGACACGGGGGCGCCCAAAAUGCCACGCCCUCAGCAAUUUCCACGCCUUCAUCCACUCCAAGCCCAGUCGCUUCCUCCUGGUCCAAGGAAAGCCCGCUGGAUGCGAGUGUGGGCGGCCAUUUCCUCAGCUGAGAAACCUGAAAUAUAAGAAAAAAAUCAAUUAAAUACAAAAAAAUAUACAAAUAAAACAACAAAAACACAUACUCACCAACCAGCAGCAGCAGCAGCAGCAGCAAAAGCAUCCAAAUCAACACCAAUGACGCAGUCCUGCAAGGAAACCUGGAACAAAUAAACAUAAAUAAAAAUAAGAUGCAAAAAUCAUUAAAUUACAAAAAACACGUACUUACCUGCAGGCGGCCGGACCAGCAGCCGCUUAAGGUUUGUCGUGCACUGGACAAGGAGCGCGAACAUGCCACGCCCUCCACGAUUCGUCACGCCAUCAUUCUUUUCAAUCCCAUACACUCCUCUGGCCCAUAGAGAGUGUAUUUGUUGAUGGCGUGGCCAGCCAUUAAUCGACGAUGCGCCUCUGCAGAAAAACCUGAAAAUAAAAGAGGAAAACAAUUAAAAUAAAUAAAUAAAAUAAAAAACAAGCACAAAACAACUACAACAAUCACCCACCUGCAGGCGGCCGGACCAGAGCCGCCUAAUUAUGGUCGAGUGCGACAACUUUGGACAGCUUGUCCAGAGGCACGCCAAUCCCGACACUCGCACACAAUCACACUCCAAUUUCAUGCACCAUCCUAGGCGGCCGGACCCGAGCCGCUGAGGGUGCAUAUGUGUGUGGCGAGUGUCUCUCUCCAUCCUCCGGUGGCCGGACCAGCGCCAUUGGACUAUCUCCACCGGAAUCCAACACCAGCGGUCAGAAGUCAGCAGCAGCGGCAGCGGCAACGACAUCCACCACGACGACGGCGCUGAAAAAUAGGGCGCGCAAAUUUGCCCGCCCCAAGUAAAUUAAAUUAGUAGAAUCAUCCGCAAAAUAUUACAUUCACUUACCUUCCAUUAAAAUUUGCGGGUGAUUCCUUUCCAAUUAUGACGUCCAGGGGGGGGGACGGCAGAGUUGGCCGGCAUGCAACACAAU
rnacentral:lncRNA from 1 species